rnacentral:tRNA from 1 species
GGCGACAUAGCCAAGAGGUAAGGCAGCGGUCUGCAAAAUCGCUAUCCCCGGUUCGAUUCCGGGUGUCGCCUCCA